CAACAUUUUCACAUUUGUAGAAAAUGGCAGAAAAUAAGUCCAACGAGAGCAGAUAAAAAUGAAAGAGGCAUGCGGCCGUGAAGGGGCUUGCGAGUACUGUCUGGAGGGGAAGGUGGCUGCAGCCUGGAUAAAGAAAAAAAAUGGGAGAACCUCAAGGCAUCUAAAAUGUCUCUAUCUACAUCAUG